CUUGCUUCCUGGGCUGCACAAAGUAAAUGUGGAAGAAGCCAAAUUGAUGAAUUUCUUGGUAUCUUGAAGGAUGAAGGUUUAGAAUUACCUCCUUUCCCUGCUUCCUCCAACGUAUUUCCUGGUAGAAGAGUGACUGUAGAAGAGGAUGGGAAAGUAGCAAUAUAAAGGAUGCAUGCAUAAUUGUACAUACCUACGUCUCUUCUAUCACAACUGCCUUCCUUUCAUGCACUGCACCAGCUGAGCACAAUACCUGAAAAUUGCACUUUUUUAUUUCUUUCUGGAGCAGAAUUAAUUUUUUGUUAAUUUGUGUCUUGAACUAGAUGAUAGUGGUCACAGUGAGGUAGAAUUUGAUCAAGAAGACCUCCAAGGAAAUUGUCGACAUCUCAACCGUGAUGAAGAAUUUCAGAGAAAAGUGGUGGAAAUGCGUUAGGAUAUCCGCUCAUUGAAGAAACGGGAUGCAGAAAAGUACGAAGCAACUCAAAUUCAACAAGCGUCAACUGUUGAGGCUCUAAACCUCCUUGAUAGAUCCCUCGACUCCCUGGAGGAAAAACAGAAGCUGAUGAAUGCCUUGUCCAGGGUGGGAGGAGUCCACUUGAAAGACAAUGUUAAAAGGGUCAUGGAGAAGUAAGUGUUUAUAUCUCAGUGUCAAUUAGAUUUUACUGUUAGCAUCGA